GAGGCAGCAGUGAGGAAUAUUGCGCAAUGGAGGAAACUCUGACGCAGCCAUGCCGCGUGCAGGAAGACUGCCCUAUGGGUUGUAAACUGCUUUUAUAUAGGAAGAACUACAGUUACGUGUAGCUGUUUGACGGUACUAUACGAAUAAGGACCGGCUAACUCCGUGCCAGCAGCCGCGGUAAUACGGAGGGUCCAAGCGUUAUCCGGAUUUAUUGGGUUUAAAGGGUCCGUAGGCGGGUUAUUAAGUCAGUGGUGAAAUCCUACAGCUCAACUGUAGAACUGCCAUUGAAACUGUUAACCUUGAGUAUAAUUGAAGUGGGCGGAAUGUGUCAUGUAGCGGUGAAAUGCUUAGAUAUGACACAGAACACCGAUUGCGAAGGCAGCUCACUAAGUUAUAACUGACGCUGAGGGACGAAAGCGUGGGUAGCGAACAGGAUUAGAUACCCUGGUAGUCCACGCCGUAAACGAUGUACACUCGUUGCUGGCGAUACACAGUCAGUGACCAAGCGAAAGUGUUAAGUGUACCACCUGGGGAGUACGCUCGCAAGAGUGAAACUCAAAGG
rnacentral:rRNA from 1 species